CAUGAGUGGCGGACGGGUGAGUAACGCGUGGGCAACCUGGCCUGUACAGGGGGAUAACACUUAGAAAUAGGUGCUAAUACCGCAUAACGGGGGAAGCCGCAUGGCUUUUCCCUGAAAACUCCGGUGGUACAGGAUGGGCCCGCGUCUGAUUAGCCAGUUGGCAGGGUAACGGCCUACCAAAGCGACGAUCAGUAGCCGGCCUGAGAGGGCGGACGGCCACACUGGGACUGAGACACGGCCCAAACUCCUACGGGAGGCAGCAG
rnacentral:rRNA from 1 species